rnacentral:rRNA from 1 species
GGCGNCUUAACCAUGCAAGUCGAACGGUAAGGCCCCAGCUUGCUGGGGUACACGAGUGGCGAACGGGUGAGUAACACGUGGGUGACCUGCCCCGCACUUCGGGAUAAGCCUGGGAAACUGGGUCUAAUACCGGAUAGGACCGCACCGUGAGGGUGUGGUGGAAAGUUUUUCGGUGUGGGAUGGGCCCGCGGCCUAUCAGCUUGUUGGUNGGGUAAUGGCCUACCAAGGCGGCGACGGGUAGCCGGCCUGAGAGGGUGGACGGCCACAUUGGGACUGAGACACGGCCCAGACUCCUACGGGAGGCAGCAGUNGGGAAUAUUGCACAAUGGGCGGAAGCCUGAUGCAGCGACGCCGCGUGGGGGAUGACGGCCUUCGGGUUGUAAACUCCUUUCACCAUCGACGAAGGUUUUCUGACGGUAGAUGGAGAAGAAGCACCGGCUAACUACGUGCCAGCAGCCGCGGUAAUACGUAGGGUGCGAGCGUUGUCCGGAAUUACUGGGCGUAAAGAGCUCGUAGGUGGUUUGUCGCGUCGUCUGUGAAAUUCCGGGGCUUAACUCCGGGCGUGCAGGCGAUACGGGCAUAACUUGAGUACUGUAGGGGAGACUGGAAUUCCUGGUGUAGCGGUGAAAUGCGCAGAUAUCAGGAGGAACACCGGUGGCGAAGGCGGGUCUCUGGGCAGUAACUGACGCUGAGGAGCGAAAGCAUGGGUAGCGAACAGGAUUAGAUACCCUGGUAGUCCAUGCCGUAAACGGUGGGCGCUAGGUGUAGGGGUCUUCCACGACUUCUGUGCCGUAGCUAACGCAUUAAGCGCCCCGCCUGGGGAGUACGGCCGCAAGGCUAAAACUCAAAGGAAUUGACGGGGGCCCGCACAAGCGGCGGAGCAUGUGGAUUAAUUCGAUGCAACGCGAAGAACCUUACCUGGGCUUGACAUGUACGGGACCGCCGCAGAGAUGUGGUUUCCCUUGUGGCUCGUAUACAGGUGGUGCAUGGUUGUCGUCAGCUCGUGUCGUGAGAUGUUGGGUUAAGUCCCGCAACGAGCGCAACCCUUGUCUUAUGUUGCCAGCACGUAAUGGUGGGGACUCGUGAGAAACUGCCGGGGUCAACUCGGAGGAAGGUGGGGAUGACGUCAAAUCAUCAUGCCCCUUAUGUCCAGGGCUUCACACAUGCUACAAUGGUCGGUACAGUGGGUUGCGAUACCGUGAGGUGGAGCUAAUCCCUUAAAGCCGGUCUCAGUUCGGAUCGGGGUCUGCAACUCGACCCCGNGAAGUCGGAGUCGCUAGUAAUCGCAGAUCAGCAACGCUGCGGUGAAUACGUUNCCGGGCCUUGUACACNCCGCCCGUCACGUCAUGAAAGUCGGUAACACCCGAAGCCNGUGGCCCAACCUUUUAGGGGGGAGCUGUCGAAGGUGGAUCGCA